CAGGGGAGCAAGAAGAGAGUGAAGGAUCCAGGCCUCUAUAUUCAUAUAGAUCAAGUCCAUGAGGGUGGAUCCUAGAAAUAAAAGGUUCCAUAUUGGCUCAUGGAGAAAAAGCAGAUUGAUAAAUGGUCCGGAGCUGGUUCAGUGAGAGGAGAGUACAAGUUUUGAAAGGAUAUGAAGGUUGUGUUAGGGAUCCUCAACUCUGGAGAUCCUGUUGGACCUGGAUUGGGGGCUCUUCCUCCUGAAAACCGGGAGGGGGGGGGUUUAUAGCUUUACUAGUUAGAGUUGGGUCCUCCAACAUAGUAAUAGGAUUAGGUCAAGGUCAGGUUAGGGUUGGGGCAGGGUCAAGGGUCAAGGGUCAGGUUAGUGUUAGGGCAGGGUCGAGGGUCAGGUUAGGGUUAGGGCAGGGU